UUAGUGUAAUGGUUGGGGUUAGAGCAAUGCUUCCAACUGAUGCACGCUCCGGGGUUAGAGCAAUGCUUCCAACUGAUGCACCCUCCGGGGUUAGAGCAAUGCUUCCAACUGGU